rnacentral:rRNA from 1 species
UACGAAGGUGGCAAGCGUUGUUCGGAUUUACUGGGCGUACAGGGAGCGUAGGCGGUUGGAUAAGCCCUCCGUGAAAUCUCCAGGCUUAACCUGGAAAGUGCAGAGGGGACUGUUCAGCUAGAGGAUGGGAGAGGAGCGCGGAAUUCCCGGGUGUAGCGGUGAAAUGCGUAGAGAUCGGGAGGAAGGCCGGUGGCGAAGGCGGCGCUCUGGAACAUUUCUGACGCUGAG